GUCACUAUUCUUGCUGCAUUUGUGUAAAUAAUAGACUUAAACUUAUUGUUUUGCAAAUGAAUUAGUCUUUCUUUGAUUAUCUUUGGUAAAAAUGGGGGUGACUAUAGGGAGAAAAAUUGUUUCAGAAGAAAACUAUAGUGUACCUAAUAUUUGAUUCUAGCCCUGUUCAUUUUUUUGAGGUUUUAUUAUCCACAUGUAGUUUGGACUGGAACUAUGUCAAUGGCCCUGAAUAAAGUCUUCCUUACCAUGCUUUAACAAGUAUUAUUGAACACAUUUUCUUUAACAACAGCAAGAAAAAAGCAAAGCAGGAAAGGGAUGUAAGAAAGAGUGAGAUGAAUAACACACUUCCAAGAGGGAGAUUCUGUGACAACAGAGAGAUGAAAGGCAAGUUGAGGAAACAAAUGGAAGAAAAAGAUAAAACAUUACAGUGACGGGAACCACGUUCAAAGCCACACAACCCUGAAAGCACAAGUUUGACAAAAUUGUGCAAAACAAACUGGCACAAAAAACAUGCAAGAUUGAUCGUAAAGAAGAUGUAAAUGGCAGGCAAAGGGCAACUGGUUUUUCCAAGAAGAGAACAGAAUGGAUGAAACUGAAAAGGCAUUCAAGGAACCAUGGGAAGCUGACUUUUCAGAAGGAGGACAUGGACUUCCAAUUCAACUUGUUUUUUUCAUUGAUGCAUAAUAUUCAUACAUAUUUGUGAGGUACAUAUAAUGAUAUGGUUUGGAUCUGUGUCCUCGCCCAAAUCUAUUGUAAUCCCCGGUGUUGGAGGUGGGUCUUGGUGGAAGUGAUUUGAUUAUUGGGGUGGAUUUCCCCCGUGCUGGAUGGGCAGCAGGGCGUGUGUGUGUGAGAAGGUAGGCGGGAGAAUAAACGCUAAAUUGAAGGUCAGAGGUAGCCUUGAGGACAUGAAUGUAACCGUGGGCUUGUUGAGACCACAGAAGAAGGGUCAAUGUAGAGCUUAGCCAGGUCCUUGGAGGCAGGGAGACCCUGCUGGUGCGUGGGUUACAAUUGCUGGCAUGAUUUAAAAUGCACCUGGAACAGCCCUUGAGAGGGACCCUCUGGGGCUGGCUAAAGACAUCUCCUUCUGUCUAGGGAGAGUCAAGAGGGAAAGAGAGUGGGACCAGCGUUCUGCUGGAACUUUGCAGGCAUUUCUUAGAAAAGCAAGUCAGUUUUCCCAGGUUCUGAAAAUGGCAAGAUUGAAUGCUAGAAUUUCAUACCAGGUUCAGAACCCUUUGUUUUAAAGACCCACAGAGAAGAAGUGAAUUUGUGUUGAGCCGGAAGUAGAACUUUUGACUUGUAGAGAUUGGCCAAAUCUUAUCUGGUGCUUUGUAGAGCCUACAGAAGACCUGUUUCCUGCUCUACAAGAAGGAAUGGGGGUACUGAUAUUUAGGAUGAAUCUGCUCUAUAUCAGAUGCUUUUUCCACGUUUCCUAUAUUCUCAGGUAAUCCCACAGCUCAUCAGGUGAGUUAAACACCCCUUGUGAGGUCACACAGCAGGCAAAAGGGAGAGUUGGGACUCAAACCCAGCUCAGCCUCACACCCCAGCCCGGGGCCUUUGCAAACAUCAUGGACACUUUAACCUUGUAGGACAUCCUAUCCCAAGCUGUGGAGCUUUGCAGGAUGAUCCUGGCUGGAAGCAGAAGCAGGUGACCACGAUGACGAUGGUCUCUUUAAUUAGGAUGCCACAAAGGACCUGUUUAGCCUCAGCUCUGGAGAUACAAAUACCUUCUCAGAGCUACCCACUACACAGAUCCCCCUUCUAUUCCAUGGGGCAGCAGGGGUUGUCUGCUCCAUCUGGGAAGAGGACCAGGACAGUGGUGUCCCUCUAGGCCCAAGACGGACUGUGUUUGUCUUUGCAGGUGGCUUCAUUGCGCCAGACAGCCCCACCGUAGCCUGGGCCCUGAGCUUCUGCCUACCAGGCUGUCAGCAACAUCUCAGCAACAGGCUCCAGCCAGUUGGCACAUACCUGGCUCAGCUCUACAGGUAGCAGUGAUGCUUUUAGGACCUCGUUUGUUAUUUUUCAGACCUAACCUCAUUGCUCUGCACUUCAGGGGCUGAAAUGCAACUCCCUGUGGGGCCCAAGGGGACUUUUGGCCUCUCUGCAGCCUGCUGGUCCCUGGAGGAUCUACCUCGUGCUGCUCACCCAAACCCUGCACGGCUGGCAAAUCCCUUCUGGGUUUUGUUUGAGGCACCAGAGGCUCCCCUGAGGCAUUGAAUUCUGAUUUUAUUGUUGCUGUUGCUGUUGAUGUUUGUGUCCAUACAUUUUGCAACUUCCCACAAACUUGUACAUCCAAAUGCUUUGCCCUGUUGUCCUUGUUAAAAGGAUAAUUUUUAAAAGG
rnacentral:lncRNA from 10 species